rnacentral:rRNA from 1 species
UACGUAGGGGGCAAGCGUUGUCCGGAUUUAUUGGGCGUAAAGAGCGUGUAGGCGGCCAGACAGGUCCGUUGUGAAAACUCGAGGCUCAACCUCGAGACGCCGAUGGAAACCGUUUGGCUAGAGUCCGGAAGAGGAGAGUGGAAUUCCCGGUGUAGCGGUGAAAUGCGCAGAUAUCGGGAAGAACACCCGUGGCGAAGGCGGCUCUCUGGGACGGUACUGACGCUGAGACGCGAAAGCGUGGGGAGCGAACAGG